AAGUGGGGGCGCCUAGGGGGCUCACUGGGUUACGCAUCUGCCUUCAGCUCAGGUCAUGAUCCCAGGGUCCUGGGAUCGAGUCCAUGUCCGUCUCCCUGCU